GACGUAGGGCGCGAGCGUUGUCCGGAUUUAUUGGGCGUAAAGAGCUCGUAGGCGGCUUGUCGCGUCGGCUGUGAAAACCCACGGCUUAACUGUGGGCUUGCAGUCGAUACGGGCAGGCUAGAGUUCGGUAGGGGAGACUGGAAUUCCUGGUGUAGCGGUGAAAUGCGCAGAUAUCAGGAGGAACACCGGUGGCGAAGGCGGGUCUCUGGGCCGAUACUGACGCUGAGGAGCGAAAGCGUGGGGAGCGAACAGG
rnacentral:rRNA from 1 species